rnacentral:rRNA from 1 species
UACGUAGGGUGCGAGCGUUGUCCGGAAUUAUUGGGCGUAAAGAGCUCGUAGGCGGUUUGUUGCGUCGGCCGUGAAAACCUGCAGCUUAACUGUGGGCCUGCGGCCGAUACGGGCAGACUUGAGUUCGGUAGGGGAGACUGGAAUUCCUGGUGUAGCGGUGAAAUGCGCAGAUAUCGGGAGGAACACCGGCGGCGAAGGCGGCACUCUGGGCCGGUACUGACGCUGAGGCGCGAAAGCCAGGGGAGCAAACGGG